rnacentral:rRNA from 1 species
GCCAGACUCCUACGGGAGGCAGCAGUGGGGAAUAUUGGGCAAUGGACGCAAGUCUGACCCAGCAACGCCGCGUGAAGGAAGAAGGCUUUCGGGUUGUAAACUUCUUUUAAGGGGGAAGAGCAGAAGACGGUACCCCUUGAAUAAGCCACGGCUAACUACGUGCCAGCAGCCGCGGUAAUACGUAGGUGGCAAGCGUUAUCCGGAUUUACUGGGUGUAAAGGGAGCGUAGGCGGCCUGGCAAGCCUGAUGUGAAAUACCGGGGCCCAACCCCGGGGCUGCAUUGGGAACUGCCAGGCUGGAGUGCCGGAGAGGCAGGCGGAAUUCCUAGUGUAGCGGUGAAAUGCGUAGAUAUUAGGAGGAACACCAGUGGCGAAGGCGGCCUGCUGGACGGUGACUGACGCUGAGGCUCGAAAGCGUGGGGAGCAAACAGGAUUAGAUACCCGGGUAC